AACCUUUUCGAUUUCAGAACUUUGGGCUUGUGGGAAGCGAG
rnacentral:ribozyme from 1 species